rnacentral:rRNA from 1 species
UACACGCUGUGACUAGCAUAUCAAUAAGCGGAGGAAAAGAAACUAACAAGGAUUCCCUCAGUAACGGCGAGUGAAGCGGGAAGAGCUCAAAUUUGAAAUCUUGAAAGGUCACCUUUCACGAAUUGUAGUUUAAAGAAGUGUUUUCUGUUACGAUCGUAAUAUAAGUUCUUUGGAAUAGGACAUCACAGAGGGUGAGAAUCCCGUCUAUGAUUGCGAUUUGUAGCUUUGUGAUACACUUUCAAAGAGUCGGGUUGUUUGGGAAUGCAGCCCAAAACGGGAGGUAAAUUUCUUCUAAGGCUAAAUAUUGGCGAGAGACCGAUAGCGAACAAGUACCGUGAGGGAAAGAUAAAAAGAACUUUGAAAAGAGAGUUAAACAGUACGUGAAAUUGUCAAAAGGGAAGCGUUUGACACCAGUGUUGUUUUCUCGAAAAUCAAUUAAAAAUGGCUCGAUUUUGUAUUGCUGAGACCUUAAAAGCUCACUGUACAUUUUUCGUGUCUUUUUUAAUGCACUUUUCGUUUAACAAGUCAACAUCAGUUUCUUUUGUUGUAAAAGGGUCAUUGGAAGGUGGCUUUCUUUUCGGAGAAAGUGUUUAUAGCCUUUGGCCUCUGCAAUCGGGAGAGACUGAGGUCUGCAGCGUAGACUCUUCGGGGUUAGAUACAUUUGUGCUAAGUUAUAGCUUUUUAUAGACAACUUGUUGACUAUAAUUAGUCUUGUAGCUUACUCGCUUAUGCUAUUUUACCUACGCUUAGGAUGUUGAGUAGCGACAUACGCAC